rnacentral:rRNA from 1 species
UACGGGGGGGGUAAGCGUUGUUCGGAAUUACUGGGCGUAAAGGGCUCGUAGGUGGCCAACUAAGUCAGACGUGAAAUCCCUCAGCUUAACUGGGGAACUGCGUCUGAUACUGGAUGGCUUGAGUUUGGGAGAGGGAUGCGGAAUUCCAGGUGUAGCGGUGAAAUGCGUAGAUAUCUGGAGGAACACCGGUGGCGAAGGCGGCAUCCUGGACCAACACUGACACUGAGGAGCGAAAGCCAGGGGAGCAAACGGG